GCUUACCUACGGGGCGCAGCAGUGGGGGAUAUUGCACAAUGGGGGGAACCCUGAUGCAGCGACGCCGCGUGGGUGAAGGAGUAUUUCGGUAUGUAAAGCCCUAUCAGCAGGGAAGAACAAUGACGGUACCUGACUAAGAAGCACCGGCUAAAUACGUGCCAGCAGCCGCGGUAAUACGUAUGGUGCAAGCGUUAUCCGGAUUUACUGGGUGUAAAGGGCGUGUAGCCGGGUUGACAAGUCAGAUGUGAAAUCCUGCGGCUUAACCGCAGAACUGCAUUUGAAACUGUUGAUCUUGAGUACUGGAG
rnacentral:rRNA from 1 species